UAGGGAAUUUUCCGCAAUGGGCGAAAGCCUGACGGAGCAACGCCGCGUGAGGGAUGAAGGUUUUCGGAUCGUAAACCUCUGUCCUUGGGGAAGAUAAUGACGGUACCCAAGGAGGAAGCCACGGCUAACUACGUGCCAGCAGCCGCGGUAAUACGUAGGUGGCAAGCGUUGUCCGGAAUUACUGGGCGUAAAGGGCGUGUAGGCGGCCGUUUAAGUCAGAUGUGAAAGCCCCGGGCUUAACCUGGGAAUUGCAUUUGAGACUGGAUGGCUUGAGGACCGGAGAGGGUAGUGGAAUUCCUAGUGUAGCGGUGAAAUGCGUAGAUAUUAGGAGGAACACCAGUGGCGAAGGCGACUACCUGGACGGCACCUGACGCUGAGGCGCGAAAGCCAGGGUAGCAAACGGG
rnacentral:rRNA from 1 species